AGAGUUUGAUCCUGGCUCAGAACGAACGCUGGCGGCGCGCCUAAUACAUGCAAGUCGAACGAGAAUGUGUAGCAAUACACAUGUACAGUGGCGAACGGGUGAGGACUACAUGGGUAACCUACCCUCGAGUGGGGAAUAACUAGCCGAAAGGUUAGCUAAUACCGCGUACGCUUCCCGGACUGCGGUUCGGGAAGGAAAGCGAUACCGUGGGUAUCGCGCUCUUGGAUGGGCUCAUGCCCUAUCAGCUUGUUGGUGAGGUAACGGCUCACCAAGGCUUCGACGGGUAGCUGAUCUGAGAGGAUGAUCAGCCACACUGGCACUGCGACACGGGCCAGACUCCUACGGGAGGCAGCAGUAAGGAAUAUUGCGCAAUGGGCGAAAGCCUGACGCAGCGACGCCGCGUGGGGGAUGAAGGUCUUCGGAUUGUAAACCCCUUUCGGGAGGGAAGAU
rnacentral:rRNA from 1 species